GACGAACGCUGGCGGCGUGCUUAACACAUGCAAGUCGAACGGUGAAGCGCCUUCCUUUUUGGUGGGUGUGGAUGAGUGGCGAACGGGUGAGUAACACGUGAGUAACCUGCCCCCUUCUUCUGGAUAACCGCAUGAAAGUGUGGCUAAUACGGGAUAUUCUGGGUCUGUCGCAUGAUGGGUCUGGGAAAGAUAUUGUUUCGGUGGGGGAUGGGCUCGCGGCCUAUCAGCUUGUUGGUGGGGUGAUGGCCUACCAAGGCGGUGACGGGUAGCCGGCCUGAGAGGGUGGACGGUCACACUGGGACUGAGACACGGCCCAGACUCCUACGGGAGGCAGCAGUGGGGAAUAUUGCACAAUGGGCGCAAGCCUGAUGCAGCGACGCCGCGUGAGGGAUGGAGGCCUUCGGGUUGUGAACCUCUUUCGCCAGUGAAGCAGGCCUGCCUCGUUUGUCGGUGGGUUGACGGUAGCUGGAUAAGAAGCGCCGGCUAACUACGUG
rnacentral:rRNA from 1 species